UCCAAGUCCAAACUUUUUACCGUGGUCUAUAAAGACCUAAGAGGUGCCGCUCCUACCUACCUAUCCGACAUCAUCUCCUGCUAUCUCCCAGCUCACCACUCUUCAACCACACUGACCACCUGAGACACGCCUAGCUCAUUCCCGCCCUGCAGCCUUGACAUCUGGUAUUCCCUUUGUGUAGAAUGGUCUUCCUUAUGAGCUUCACAAGGCUGAGCCCUUCUUGUUAAUUAGGACUCGGCUGCAAUAUACCCUUUACAGAGAGCUCUCUAAUGGCCAACCUAUCUAAAAGCAGCCCAUCCAGCAAUUAUUCUACCAUGUUAUUUUUUGACCACUCACUGCUAUCUGGAAUCAUCUUUUUGUUUAUGAUCUCUCUCCCGGCAGUAAAACACAAGUUCCACGAGAGGGGAAGUUUGUCUACCUUCGCUGCCGUAUUCCCAAAGAGUGGAACAGAGCCUGGCACACAGUGGGCGUUCAGUCAACGUUUGCUGAAUGGAUAGAAAGACCCCGUGGAGCAGACACAGUGGCGUUCCUUUAAGAUCUGCACUGCACAGGUCUCAGUCCCUCCCUCCUCUAGUUCCCCACAGAUUUCCGACCCUCGGCCUCCCCACUCGCCGGCCCCCAGGCCUGGUCCCCGCUCCCGGCGGGCGGCAGGCUGCUUUUACCGUCCGGUCGAAACUCAAACUCCAGGAACUCGUGGCCGAACUUGCCCUUGUGCCCCACGUAGUAACGCAGAUAAAAGUCACUCUCCAUGGCUCCCAAAAGACAACCGAGCCUGAACUUCCAAGAGCAAGCCGCACUGCCGCCGUCUGCGCCCGACACUGACGUUUGCGGCGGCGCGCGGAAGUGACGUCAGGUCCCGUCGUCGCUGCGUGGAGGGGUUCCUUCUCGCUAACCUCUUCGCCCGGAAGUGGCAACAAGACUGCAACAUCCCCUCACGCCUAGUCUGUAAAGAACUUUGUUUAACCCGGAGGCGGGGCCAGCCAGCUCCGCCCCUCCAGCUGGACGCGGGAGCGAGGUUGAGGUUCAUACCCCUGGGUUCUCUCCAGGCCUGAGGCGGAGAGCCAGCCGCCUGCCUACCUCUGGGCUUUGAACCCCGGGUCUGGUGACUUCGCUUAAAGACCUCGGGCCGAAGGCCCGCCAGGCUCAACCUCGGUUCACAGGACCCCCGACUUGUGUGAGUCGUACACCGCUCUUUACCGUCUCUGGACCUAGGUCAUCUCGGCAGUAAAAUGGGGUGAAAUGACCCGACCUCCCCGGAGGAUGCCGCGCACGAUGUGUGCCUCAAGUUGGCUUCCACUGACCUGAACUGUUAAGAAAGCCCUCCUCAGUGACGCCUUCCCUGAAUCCACAGUGGAGAUUGCCGUUUUCCUGGAACUAAUUCACCCACACUUACCCAUUUCAUCCCUUUCCACCUUUUAUUUCUACCUUUCUGCCCCACUGAUCUCUAGAAUAGGUGCUGGGAGACGUUAGAGUAUUUGAUCUCCCACUCCCCAGUCAUCCCACUUACCGAGCAGUAAUUCUCUGCCUGGCUGCACAUUGCAAUCACUUGGGAAGCCUCUAAAAAUACUGAUGCCAGGGCUCUACCCCAAGCCAGUUAAAAUCUCCAGCGCUGGACCUGGGCAUUGGUACUUUUUGUAAAGCUUUCAGGUCAAGGAAGAGCAAGACUGAAAAUGUUUACCAGAUUUAUAAUCGAGGAGGUCCUGGAUGACCUUGGCAAAAGCAACCCCAAUGGCAUGGGAAUGAAUGUUUACCAAGAUGAUGCCAGUAUAGCUAGUGAGAUGCAGCACCCCAUCCUCAGCCCCCUCGCCUCUGGAAGAGACACCAGACUGCAAAGGGCACCGCGUACAGAAGCUAACGGAACUUGAAUGACAAGACAAAAAGAGCAGAAUCAGUUAGUGUGACACAACAUUCUAACAUGCCUGAUUCUUACAUCAAAUAUGGUAACUUUGGGGUUGGUAGGGGGAGACAAACAAGGAGAAUCCACUUGGGAACAAUUUGAUGAAGUUUGCAAAUCAGCACUUUACCCCCAAAUUAACAACAGCUUGUAUGGAAAAAAAAAUGCUCUUUUAAAAGUAUAUGGUUUGGACAGGUAUAUUUGUUUUCUCUUGUAGUUUUUGUAAAAAAGUAUCAAAACCUUGGCUUU
rnacentral:lncRNA from 1 species